rnacentral:lncRNA from 1 species
AUAUAAUAACUUUAUUGAAAUAAUGUUUAGAAACAUAAAAAAGUUGCUUAGGCGUUGUUAUUCUCUAUAUAAAAUAAUUAUUAGGAAAAACUUCAAAUACCAUCACUGUGAUUUUGCGUUUUCUCAUUUUAAUAUCCAGUGGUUUGAAAUGUAUUACUUUAGUAUCAUCUGGUUUCGUUUUUCUCUUUCCGUUAUUCCCUCCAUUUAUAAUUUUUUUGUUAUAUCAGUGAUAAAGUUAGAACUAUUGGAUAGCAAAAAUAAAAUUUCAGUAAAUCACAGGAUACUAAAGCAAAUAUUCAAUAAAUUAAGUAUAGGUGCGGUAUCUGAAGUUUUCUUUUGUAUGAUUUAACGGAGAGUUAAUGGAGAUGCUGACGGAAAGAUAAAAAUAAAACCAUAAGAUACUAAACUGAUACGCUUUAAACUAUAGAGUAAUAAAGUGAAAAUAUUUGAAAUUACAGGAGCGGUAUUUAAAGUUUAUCCUAAUUAUUAUAUAGAAAACCUUUUUAAUUAAAUAAUGAGAAGU